GGGAUGGCCACUACCUAUUUACCUACUUUCUAUUCAGAUUCAUAGCCUACAUCCUGACUUGCAGAGCCUGGACAAGCUUACACUGCAUAUACAGACCUACUUCAUGGCCAUUCCGCCAGCCAUUGCUAUUUGACCCAUUGUUAUUCUGAUAUUGAGACAAAUCAUGAUCACUGUCCUAUUCGUUUGGUUCACUUGACGUCACUUGCGCCGCCAUCUUGACGACCGAUCCCACCCACUGACCCACUGAUUUCAGUGGUAACUCAGUCAGCACCAACAACAACACCUACGACCACAAUCUAAACAAUGAGGAUGCGCUCUUUUAUUCUCUUCAGUGCAGACACAAGCCUUUCCACAGACGACAUCAAGCGGACUUGAACCCCGGUCUCCAGUGGGUUAGGCAGAGUGCACUCCACUGCACCACUGAGGCGAUGACACUACAAAAAAUCAAUCAUCAAUAAAGAGGAUAUACAUGACAUUAAAAUGUAUGUGUGUAUUUCUAUUAUUUCCCUUAUGUUUUUUUUAAUGACGACCAUUAAAAAACGACAGUGUUACCCCUUAUAUUAUAUUUGACAUAGGCAACAAUGUUACCCUUUAUGGUUUUUUUCAUGACGACCAAUAAAAAACAACAGUGUUACCCCUUAUGUUUUUUUUCAUGACGACCAAUAAAAAACAACAGUGUUACCCCUGAUGUUUUUUUCUUGACGACCAAUAGAAAACUACAGUGUUACCCCUUAUGUUUUUUUCAUGACGACCGAUAAAAAACGACAGUGUUACCCCUUAUGUUUAUUUUCAUGACGACCAAAGAAAAACAACAGUGUCACCCCCUAUGUUUUAUUUGAUAAAUAUCGACAGUGUUACCCCUCAUGUUUUUUCCAUGUUGACCAAUAAAUUACAACAGUGGCACCCUUGUCGACGUUUUUGCGGGGAUAAGAACAUGAGCUGUUUAGCGUGUUAACCUCCGAACUUAACUAUGCAACAUCAAGACACCGGAUAAAGUCAUCAAAAAAG
ensembl:lncRNA